GAUGAACGCUGGCGGCGUGCCUAAUACAUGCAAGUCGAGCGAACAGACGAGGAGCUUGCUCCUCUGACGUUAGCGGCGGACGGGUGAGUAACACGUGGAUAACCUACCUAUAAGACUGGGAUAACUUCGGGAAACCGGAGCUAAUACCGGAUAAUAUAUUGAACCGCAUGGUUCAAUAGUGAAAGACGGUUUUGCUGUCACUUAUAGAUGGAUCCGCGCCGCAUUAGCUAGUUGGUAAGGUAACGGCUUACCAAGGCAACGAUGCGUAGCCGACCUGAGAGGGUGAUCGGCCACACUGGAACUGAGACACGGUCCAGACUCCUACGGGAGGCAGCAGUAGGGAAUCUUCCGCAAUGGGCGAAAGCCUGACGGAGCAACGCCGCGUGAGUGAUGAAGGUCUUCGGAUCGUAAAACUCUGUUAUUAGGGAAGAACAAAUGUGUAAGUAACUAUGCACGUCUGGACGGUACCUAAACAGAAAGCCACGGCUAACUACGUG
rnacentral:rRNA from 1 species